CGCAGACUUGCUGUGGAGGAUGGAGCACAGGCAGCAGGGACUCGAGGGUGGAUCAUGUUAACUUCCAGCCAUGACUUCCAGAAAAUUCCAGAUGGAACCGGAGCAAAAAUAAGACCAGCCAACAUCCCUUGAUGCCCCAGGCAUAGAUUCAACGUCAAUUUGUGAUAAAAAAAAAUAGAGGGAAUGGGUGCUGCCUUCUCCUUGCAACUGGGGUGGAUGCUCUAAGAGGGCUGUGAAGAAAUGAUGAAUCAAUGAAUUCAUGAAGUAACCAAUUCAUGUCUCCAUCCAACAAACACUUUUCCAUGGCACCUUGGUGGCAGGCAUUGCGCUCAGUGCUGACGAAAGAAAAGGCAACUGGGACCAGGCUUGCCUUCGAGUGGCCCGCAGCUUCACGUUGGAGGAAUAUACCAAGAGGACGGUGUGGCAGGUGACAUCCAUUAAAGUGGAAGGAGCGGGGGACUCGGAAGACUUAAGGCAGGGCAUGCUUCUGAUGGAAGGUGGGAGAGGGUAGGAGACACACUGCAGCUUUCUGUAUCUGGGAGAAGUUGAAGAGAAGAGUAGCUUCUAAUAUUAUUGCCGUGAGGACAGACUACAGAAUGCAGAAAACCCCUGUAAAUAGGAAAGAUAUGUCUUGAAUCUGCGCAAAGCCCCAGAGUCACGAAUAUCACCACAGCGCUGACGGGGCUUUUUUCCUGGGUCAUUUUCCAAAAGGAAGCCAACUCUGGAUCCCUUUCCAACUGUCAUUGCAACUGAUGAGAAGAGAACAAGGAAUGGGAACUGAGAGGCACCCGACUCAGGCUCUUGCUCAUGCCCGCUUAAUGGUCUCUUCCCCCACAGCAGCUUUUCAGAGCCUGGGAUUUAAAUGUGCCACUUGGCAGAACUGUAACCGAUUACAAACCUUGGGAUCUGUGGGUUGCUAGCAUAACAGUCCAAAUCAAAAAUAGCAAAUCUGCACAUAACAAAGGUCAAUUAUCUUCUAAGCAUGCAUCUGCUUAUGCGACACACAAUAUUUAUGCUGUAAGUUCCUAGGGGCCCGGGUGGAGAUGUUUUAUGUUUCCCCAUCUGGCUUCUGCCCAGCGAACCUUACGCGCUGUGGGUACUUCGGAAAUACAGAUGGUGUGACGGAACGAUGGUUUUUCCUUUGCAGACAGUCACCUAACUGGAUAAUUUGGUGGCCAGUGACACUGUGGACUCUGGAGGUCAGCAAACCUGGGUUAAAUCCAAGUUCUGCACCUGCCUAGCUGUGUGAACUUGGGCAAGAAAUGUAAUUUCUUUAUGUCUCAGUUUGUUCAUCUGCAAAAUGAGUGUUAACAACACUCACCUCGUAGGUGAGGAGUGAACGAGAUGGUGAGUGCACCCUGAGCCAAUAGUGAGAGCUCAAUAAACAGUUCCCGGCGGCAGCGUCUUGUUGCCUCCAUCUUCAUCUUCAUCGUCAUCAUUCUUGACCCCUGAGGGCCAGGAGUAGAGGGGAGGAUGGCCGAGGUCCCCACAGGGUCUUCUGCAUGGCUCCUCAGCUCCUGGGCUCUUGCCCCAACACAGACACUGGCCCUAGAUCCAGUUUUUCUCUUAGUUCAGUGCCUCCCAAACUUGAGUGUGGAGCGGAAUCAACGGAAGCACUUGUUAAAACACAGGCACCACAAUGGAGGGGGAGGUGGGGAGGGAUAGCCUGGGGAGAAAUGCCAAAUGUGGGUGAAGGGGAGAAGAAAAGCAAAGCACACUGCCAUGUGUGUACCUACGCAACUGUCUUGCAUGCUCUGCUCAUGUACCCCAAAACCUAUAAUCCAAUAAAAAAUUAAAAAAAAAAAAAACAAAAACACAGGCACCGCCCCACUUGCAGGGUUUCUGGUUCAGUAGGUUUGGGCGGCUCUGGUCUGAUCAUUUGCAUUUCAAAGGAGUCCUCAGGUCCUGCUGCUGCUGCUCGUCUAAGAAUUACAGUUUAAGCAUUGGCAACAAAAGCCAAAAUAGACAAAUGGGACCUAAUGAAACUCCACAGCUUCUGCACGGCAAAAGAAACAGUCACUAGAGUGGAUCGGCAACCAACAGAAUGGGAAAAAAUUUUUGCAGUUUACCCAUCUGACAAAGGGCUGAUAUCCAGAAUUUACAAAGAACUCAAACGGAUUUACAGGAAAAAAACAAACAAGCCCAUUCAAAAGUGGGCAAAGGAUAUGAACAGAUACUUUACGAAAGAAGACAUAUAUGAGGCCAACAAUCAUAUGAAAAAUGCUCAUCGUCACUGGUCAUCAGAGAGAUGCAAAUCAAAACCACAUUGAGAUACCAUCUCAUGCCAGUUAGAAUGGCGAUCAUUAAAAAAUCUGGAGACAACAGAUGCUGGAGAGGAUGUGGAGAAAAAGGAACACUUUUACACUGUUGGUGGGAGUGUAAAUUAGUUCAACCAUUGUGGAAGACAGUGUGGCGAUUCCUCAAGGCCUUAGAAAUAGAAAUUCCAUUUGACCCAGCAAUCCCAUUACUGGGUAUAUAUCCAAAAGACUAUAAAUCGUUCUACUAUAAGGACACAUGUACACGAAUGUUCAUUGCAGCACUGUUUACAAUAGCAAAGACCUGGAAUCAACCAAAAUGCCCAUUGAUGAUAGACUGGAUUGGAAAAAUGUGGCACAUAUACACCAUGGAAUAUUAUGCCGCAAUCAGAAAUGAUGAGUUUGUGUCGUUUGUAGGGACAUGGAUGAAUCUGGAGAACGUCAUCCUCAGCAAACUGACACAAGAACAGAAAAUGAAACACUGCAUAUUCUCACUCAUAGGUGGGUGAUGAAAAAUGAGAACACAUGGACACAGAAAGGGGAGUACUAAACACUGGGGUCUA